rnacentral:rRNA from 8 species
UUUUCUGAGAAUUUGAUCUUGGUUCAGAUUGAACGCUGGCGGCGUGGAUGAGGCAUGCAAGUCGAACGGAAUAAUGACUUCGGUUGUUAUUUAGUGGCGGAAGGGUUAGUAAUACAUAGAUAAUCUGUCCUCAACUUGGGAAUAACGGUUGGAAACGACCGCUAAUACCGAAUGUGGUAUGUUUAGGCAUCUAAAACAUAUUAAAGAAGGGGAUCUUCGGACCUUUCGGUUGAGGGAGAGUCUAUGGGAUAUCAGCUUGUUGGUGGGGUAAUGGCCUACCAAGGCUUUGACGUCUAGGCGGAUUGAGAGAUUGACCGCCAACACUGGGACUGAGACACUGCCCAGACUUCUACGGAAGGCUGCAGUCGAGAAUCUUUCGCAAUGGACGAAAGUCUGACGAAGCGACGCCGCGUGUGUGAUGAAGGCUCUAGGGUUGUAAAGCACUUUCGCUUGGGAAUAAGAGAGAUUGGCUAAUAUCCAAUCGAUUUGAGCGUACCAGGUAAAGAAGCACCGGCUAACUCCGUGCCAGCAGCUGCGGUAAUACGGAGGGUGCUAGCGUUAAUCGGAUUUAUUGGGCGUAAAGGGCGUGUAGGCGGAAAGGAAAGUUAGAUGUUAAAUCUUGGGGCUCAACCCCAAGCCAGCAUCUAAUACUAUCUUUCUAGAGGGUAGAUGGAGAAAAGGGAAUUCCACGUGUAGCGGUGAAAUGCGUAGAUAUGUGGAAGAACACCAGUGGCGAAGGCGCUUUUCUAAUUUACACCUGACGCUAAGGCGCGAAAGCAAGGGGAGCAAACAGGAUUAGAUACCCUGGUAGUCCUUGCCGUAAACGAUGCAUACUUGAUGUGGAUAGUCUCAACCCUAUCCGUGUCGUAGCUAACGCGUUAAGUAUGCCGCCUGAGGAGUACACUCGCAAGGGUGAAACUCAAAAGAAUUGACGGGGGCCCGCACAAGCAGUGGAGCAUGUGGUUUAAUUCGAUGCAACGCGAAGAACCUUACCUGGGCUUGACAUGUAUUUGACCGCGGCAGAAAUGUCGUUUUCCGCAAGGACAGAUACACAGGUGCUGCAUGGCUGUCGUCAGCUCGUGCCGUGAGGUGUUGGGUUAAGUCCCGCAACGAGCGCAACCCUUAUCGUUAGUUGCCAACACUUAGGGUGGGAACUCUAACGAGACUGCCUGGGUUAACCAGGAGGAAGGCGAGGAUGACGUCAAGUCAGCAUGGCCCUUAUGCCCAGGGCUACACACGUGCUACAAUGGCCAGUACAGAAGGUAGCAAUAUCGUGAGAUGGAGCAAAUCCUCAAAGCUGGCCCCAGUUCGGAUUGUAGUCUGCAACUCGACUACAUGAAGUCGGAAUUGCUAGUAAUGGCGUGUCAGCUAUAACGCCGUGAAUACGUUCCCGGGCCUUGUACACACCGCCCGUCACAUCAUGGGAGUUGGUUUUGCCUUAAGUCGUUGACUCAACCUGCAAAGGAGAGAGGCGCCCAAGGUGAGGCUGAUGACUGGGAUGAAGUCGUAACAAGGUAGCCCUACCGGAAGGUGGGGCUGGAUCACCUCCUUU